rnacentral:tmRNA from 1 species
GGGGUUGUGAGGGAUUCGACAGGCAUUAUGAGGCAUAUUUUGCGACUCGUGUGGCGACGUAAACGCUCAGUUAAAUAUAACUGCAAAAAAUAACACUUCUUACGCUCUAGCUGCCUAAAAACCAGCAGGCGUGACCCGAUUUGGAUUGCUCGUGUUCAAUGACAGGUCUUAUUAUUAGCGAGAUACGAUUAAGCCUUGUCUAGCGGCUUGAUAAGAGAUUGAUAGACUCGCAGUUUCUAGACUUGAGUUAUGUGUCGAGGGGCUGUUAAAAUAAUACAUAACCUAUGGUUGUAGACAAAUAUGUUGGCAGGUGUUUGGACGUGGGUUCGACUCCCACCGG